CCUACUUUGAAGCUAGCUUGAUAUAAUGCUAAUGUGACCUUGAACGAUUUCUUUCUUCCUGAGUUUGCCUACUAGUAUAGCUUAAAGAUCCAAGUUACACUAUUACUCACUUAUAUCAUAGCCAGCAUUGCUUGAUCAGAUUAUCAGAUAGAUACAGUAUCACGGAGACAAAAUCCUUUCAUUAUGAUGUAAGAUAAAAAAUAUCUUUCAUUAACAACACACGUAAAGGAAGUACCCACUGGACCAACUCAGGUUAGAAGGGUACCAGACCAGAAGAUCAGAUCGUAGAAGUUACUGGAGAAAAAGAUCAGCGGACAGCACUCUUGAACUACAUGCCAGGCCUCUUCUUCCUGGAACUCUAAUGGAUUUAAAUGGCUUAAGAGACGGGAUGAAUUGUUGAAAAUGGUUCUUUCAAAAGACCUCACGGAAGGCCAAAGACAAGACUCACUGAGGCCAAGCUGAUCAACAAUAUCUAUAAGUUGACGCAUUCUAAUCAUGUGGCGAUCUUGACCUUGGGAGCUUGAUUUGUGGACCAGUGUCCCCAAGAAGAUGACCAUCAGACAGAUGACAAUCCUCUCCAUGUUGCCAGGACUGGAUCUCAUAAGUACCAACAGUAGAGCUAGACCUUGGUCUCGUUUUCACUUCAGCUUGACUGAGAACAGGUAUACGUGUGCAUGUGCUAAUGUGUGGGGGCAGGGAUUGAUGGAGUCAACGAAAUGUGCCCCAUCUGCAUCUUUGACAGGAAAAAGAGAGAAUGGGUGAAUUCCAAUUUUCAGCAUGAAUCAAGAAUGUCACCGAUGAAGUUUUUGAAUGCUGUGCUCCUAAUCUCAUUUUCCUCCUCCAGAGACUUCGGUGAAGGAUGAUGCAAACUGUGUUUCUUCAGCAUGUGAGCACCAUCAGCCAUGAGUGUGGCAGCUCCAGAAUGUCUAUACCAGAGUGGCUGAGAGUCAGCAACUUGGCUGGAAGCUACACUUGAAUAGCAAACAAACCACUUUUACUUAGUUUCCAUGUCUAUUUGGUACCUUGGAGUACAGUGAUGAGUUUUACUAGAUGUGGACUUUCCAGGAAUAUAGCCAAGGUCGUCACCAUGAAAGUAUGAAACUUUAGUCAUUUACCCAAGGGGAUUCAUGGACAUAUAUUAAGAAUUUUCUUUAAUGGACUGUGUUUAUAGAACACCUGGUCAGGACGGAAAUGAGGCCAGGGAACUAAAGGGGUAGAAGUCUGAAGAGGAAUGGUUUUGCAUGGGAAAACUGUGCCAGGUCUAAAACUGGGCUGAACACUAUUUGUCCCCAACUCUCUGGCCCGGUCCUCAUAGUUCUUUCUGUGAUCCCUGCGUGGUGAAUACUCCUUUUCUGCUUUCACUGGCUUUGGCCCCUCAUGGAUAGAAUUAGAUGUUCUGCAUGGCAAACUGUGGGAAGAGAGGCCUCCAGUGUUUAGAGUGAUAUUAUCAUGUGUACCACUACUAUUAUACAUACUAAAGGUAUUCAGACAGGUGGCUUGUCUCUGGGCUUUAUAUAGAUCUCUGUCAAGCUAGAAGAAAAAUGUCACUAAAAUAAUUCAAGACAAUUUUUGUACUUUCCAACGAUGUUCAGGUAACAGCUGAAAAUAUUCUCACUUAUUUGACUUGAGGAAGAAAAUUCGAACGAGGAAAAUCAUCAAGGAUUUGCUAAAGUCCCUUCUGUAAAAUCUUCCUUAAGGAAGUUUAAACACUCCUAUUCUCUCUUCUCUCAUUCUUUUGAACUCACUGCAUGUAUUGAUAUCACUGACUUGGUUUGUUUUCUAGAAUAUAUGUAAAAGUAAGAGUGUGUAUAUAUAACCCAUUAUGUACAUAACAAGAACAGUUCCUUCCAAUAUUCAAAUUUCAUGACUCUAGAUCACUACUGUGCAUUCUAAGAAGGUCAGGGACUCAUGGAGACCAAAGGGUCAAUCCUGGUCAUUGUUGUCUUACGAGAGAAAAACAAGAGCCUUCUCGGGCCCCGUGUUCUCUAGCUCUUGAUGUGGCCUCUUCGGUAUCACUGGCAGCCCCACAGUCUGGUGGUCAGUGUGUCGCAGCAGAGGGUCAUUCACCGAUGCUGCUUAUCCACAGCACCUUUUCUGUGGGGAAUGGGGGCCUCUAUUCUGCUAGUAGACUCAGGUGUGUCACUCUGUGAUACUCUUAAGACUGGGUUCAUUGAGGACAGGUCUCUUUGCUAACAUUCACACAAAGUCAUUGUUUGGAAGCACAGUCCUGCUUCUGAAAUGCUAGGUCUGGAGGAGUUCCAGCAGCAGCCACAUGGGCCCUCUCCUCAGAUCUUGGCUCCAACAUGGGAUACUCAGCAGUGAGGCUAGAGAUCAGAUGUCCUUCAUUCCUUGACCACUAAGCCUAGAGGAUGGAGAGAAAGAAGUGGAACAUCUGCACUCUUCAACCUGAGUCCACUCCAACUCCAUCCCACAAGGUGAGGCAAGUUCCACCAGCCUCUCCAGCCUCCUGUCUAAUAUGAUCAGAGAAAUCCUCUUCUCUCUGGACUCAAGACCCAUCCCUGUUUCCUUCCCUAAGGCGACAGGUGGCUAUAGCACCCUUUGUCUUGGCCCUGCAGCCACCAAUACACAACCAUAAAAAUAAAGUAGUCCAAUUAUUAGCCUUCGCUGUGUCCUGUGUCCUCCUCCCAAGAGAUCUGCGGAACCUUCAUUUAUCACCUGAAUGGGAGCCUCCUCCCCAUGCUUUCCCAGGGGGCAGCCAUAGGACCUCACAGAGAUGUUACUGUGUAUCACUCUAGACUCUUUUCCUAUAUACAUAGAACAAUAAAGGAAUAGAUAGGGACACAUAGACACUUAAGGAAAUAGAAUUAUGUAUGGAGAUAGAAACAUAAAAAUAAAUAGCACAGACAUAUAGAUAUAGAAAACUGGUACUUUUACAUAAAAACUUAAUCUCACCAUAUGUAGUCUAUAAAUUUUUUUUUCACUCAACCUAUGUCAGGGACAGGAGUCCAUACAGGAUUCACACACAGGGAUAUCUCAUUAGAUUAAUAUUCCAUUGUAUGGCAGUACCACAAUUUAUCCAUUCAUAACCCUACUGAUAAACAUUUAGAUUGUUUCCAGUUUUUAUCCACUGCAAACAAUGCUGCAAUGAACAUCCUUAGACAUAGAGAUCUCUAAGCAUAUGUGAAAUAUAUUCUUUUAAUGUUGUAUUUUAAAAUACAUGUCUUGAAUUUCACUUCCUGAGUGGAAAGAUACUUUGAAAAACUUUGUAGAAACUGCCAAAUUUCCCUCUGACAUGCCAUACCAGUUUAUACUCCCAACAACAUAGAGUUUCUUUUCCUCUCAUUAAUACUUUAUGUUAUGAAUAUUUUAAAUAUCUACCAACAUAUUGGGGCAAAAAUAGUAUCCUCUCAUUGGUUUGUCUUUCCUUGAUCAAUAGUUAGAUCUGCUAUAUUUUCAUCAGUGUGUUUAUUUUUCCACAAAUUGUCUGAUUCAUAUUAUUUGCCAAUUUAUUCAUUUGUUUCUUAUUUACUUAUAAAGGCUCUUUUUCUAUUAAAGAUAUGUUAAACAUGUAGAAAUUAUUUUCUCUGUGGUAUCCUUUGCCCUACUGAGGUUUUGAGCUUUCAUGUUAUUGUGUCUGAGAAUCUUAUGUUUUAUGUCAUGGACCUUCGUUUAAUAGAAAGGGUGUCUCACCUAACAAAACCAAAAAUGGCAGUAAUUAAUUUAGUGUUCUUUUUGGUUGAAGAAUUCUAAUGCCAAGGAGUCAUGUUUAAUUCAGGAGCGCUUUUAAAUGAAUUUGCAUUUCAUUUGUCACAAGAUUAGCUACAUACUUCUUUGAAAUAUAAUAAUACAUUUAUGGUUGGAAGUGAUUUAGUCAGUUUAUAGGCAACAUCCUUCCUGUGCAGCAAUGAAUUCAUGAGCCCUGUGAACAUCAUUAUUUUAGAAAAAGAAUUGGAUAUAAUAUAUACUUCUUAUAUAUAGAGAGAUCCAAUCAUAUACCACAUUCAGGAGUGGGGAGGACAAGGGACCACAGAAUCCUGAAACGGCAUCUGAGCCAUCAAAAGAAUGUGCUCACUACAGUUUCAGUGCUGAAUGUUUUAUUUUACUUCAAUUCUUUAAAUAUGGUUUCUCCAUAUACAGGGUGUACGGUAGUUCUAAAAACGCGAAUGACUAAUUAACAAAGUGCAGACCAGGAAAACACAGACUCUGUGAGAUUUACCAAAUUGGCUCCAAGACUACCCUGAAGUCACCCUUUAAACUGAGAAAUAGUUAUAUCUGAUAGACUCUGUUGCUGCAAAUAAAGGGAAAUGGGAUGGCUCUUUCUGAAAAAAGACUUUGGGCCAAUCAAAAAGAUACUAUCAAUGAUUAUUCUAGCAAACACUUUUGUAUCUAAGUGGUUUAUAGACAUAAUCUCAUUUAAAGCAACAACCAUGAGAAAUAGGUAUUUUGAGUGUGCCUCUUUACUACCGAAGCACAAAGAAGAUAAGUAAGACAUUGAAGUGAUUGGAGGAACUCUCUCCAGAGCCUGACGACUUCUCUCUACAGCAGGGAACUGCCUCCAUUGCUGAUGUUGGAUUAAACAGAACAGCCUGUGCAGUUAGUUCAUGGAUUCCAUAAAGGGACUGGACCUUAAUGAAGACGUUCCUGACAUGGGUUUGGGGUAAGAAGGAGAGUCUGUUUGCAAAAUUAUUAUUGAUAAUAACUAGAAUUUAAAUGUAUAUCUUUUCUUGGUUAAUUAAAU
rnacentral:lncRNA from 1 species